rnacentral:lncRNA from 1 species
UCUGCCCUCCAGUGCCCAUAGCUCUGCUCCCCACAAAGGCCACGGGAGCGGCGGAGGGCAGACUUUGGCAGAGGUGAAAGUAAGACGGUACCGAGGACAGACUGCUGCCAGCUUGCAUAAACUGCUUCCUUAUGUUCCCAGGAUGUUGCUUCCUUGAACAACUUGAGUAAAGAUGGUGGUAUUGAAGAGACAUCAAGACAUCCCAAUGGUACUGAUGGAACGUUAUCCUCAUAAAUACUGCAUUCCUUUCUUGGCCACCCCAGCUCAAAAAGUGCACAGUAGAAUUGGAAAAAGCCCAAAAAAGGACAACAAAGGUGAUAGAAGCUUCCAGAUAAGGGGAGAUUUUAAAAGAUAAGGACUAUUUACUUUAGAGAGAAGAUAAAUAAGUAAUGCCAUAAUAGAGGUAUGUCAAAUAAUAAAUGAUACAGCAAAAGUAAAUUGUCUUCA